rnacentral:rRNA from 1 species
UACAGAGGGGGCAAGCGUUGUUCGGAAUUACUGGGCGUAAAGGGCGCGUAGGCGGCCGCCUAAGUCAGACGUGAAAUCCCUCGGCUCAACCGGGGAACUGCGUCUGAUACUGGAUGGCUUGAGUUUGGGAGAGGGAUGCGGAAUUCCAGGUGUAGCGGUGAAAUGCGUAGAUAUCUGGAGGAACACCGGUGGCGAAGGCGGCAUCCUGGACCAACACUGACACUGAGGAGCGAAAGCCAGGGGAGCAAACGGG